rnacentral:misc_RNA from 1 species
AAACGUCAUCCCACCGGUCACCAACAUGUCAAGCCCAGGUAAGGUUCUUCGCGUUGCGUCGAAUUAAACCACAUGCUCCGCUGCUUGUGCGGGCCCCCGUCAAUUCCUUUGAGUUUUAGCCUUGCGGCCGUACUCCCCAGGCGGGGCACUUAGUGCGUUAGCGACGGCGCGGAAGGAGUCGACACCUCCCACACCUAGUGCCCAUCGUUUACGGCGUGGACUAC